rnacentral:tRNA from 1 species
ACAGAUCAGUUGGGUAGAGCAUGAGACUCUUAAUCUCAGGGUUGUGGGUUUCAGCCCCACAUUAGGCA